rnacentral:rRNA from 1 species
GGGAUUGCCUUAGUAACUGCGAGUGAAGCGGCAAGAGCUCAAAUUUGAAAUCUGGCGCCUAUGGUGUCCGAGUUGUAAUUUGGAGAGAUGACUUCGGUGCUGCCGGCCGUCCCAAGUUCCUUGGAACAGGACGUCACAGAGGGUGAGAAUCCCGUGUCUGGUCGGUUGGCGGGUGCCAUGUGAAGUCUCUUCGACGAGUCGAGUUGUUUGGGAAUGCAGCUCAAAAUGGGUGGUAAAUUUCAUCUAAAGCUAAAUAUUUGCGAGAGACCGAUAGCGCACAAGUAGAGUGAUCGAAAGAUGAAAAGCACUUUGAAAAGAGAGUCAAAAAGUACGUGAAAUUGUUGAAAGGGAAGCGCUUGAGAUCAGACUCGGCUGUCGGUGAUCAGCAGUCCUUCUGGGCUGUGCACUGGCUGACAGUCGGACCAGCAUCGGUUGCUGCGGUAGGAGAAAGGCUGGGGGAAUGUGAUCAACUUCGGUUGGUGUUAUAGCCCCUGGUGUAAUGCUGCCAGUAGUGACCGAGGCCCGCGCAUUUAUGCUAGGAUGCUGGUGAAAUGGUCUUCAGCGACCCGUCUUGAAACACGGACCAAGGAGUCUAACAUCUAUGCAAGUGUUUGGGUGUAAAACCCUUGCGCGUAAUGAAAGUGAACGUAGGUGGGAACCCGUAAGGGGGCACCAUCGACCGAUCCUGAUGUCUUCGGAUGGAUUUGAGUAAGAGCAUAGCUGUUGGGACCCGAAAGAUGGUGAACUAUGCCUGAAUAGGGUGAAGCCAGAGGAAACUCUGGUGGAGGCUCGCAGCGGUUCUGACGUGCAAAUCGAUCGUCAAAUU